UGCCAGCCGCCGCGGUAAUACAGAGGGUGCAAGCGUUAAUCGGAAUUACUGGGCGUAAAGCGUACGUAGGCGGAUGUUUAAGUCAGAUGUGAAAGCCCUGGGCUCAACCUAGGAAUUGCAUCUGAUACUGGGCAUCUAGAGUAUGGUAGAGGAUAGUGGAAUUUCUGGUGUAGCGGUGAAAUGCGUAGAUAUCAGAAGGAACACCAGUGGCGAAGGCGACUGUCUGGGCCAAUACUGACGCUGAGGUACGAAAGCGUGGGUAGCGAACAGGAUUAGAUA
rnacentral:rRNA from 1 species